GCUCGAGUGGCGAACGGGUGAGUAACACGUGAGUAACCUGCCCUUGACUUUGGGAUAACUUCAGGAAACUGGGGCUAAUACCGGAUAGGAGCUCCUGCUGCAUGGUGGGGGUUGGAAAGUUUCGGCGGUUGGGGAUGGACUCGCGGCUUAUCAGCUUGUUGGUGGGGUAGUGGCUACCAAGGCUUUGACGGGUAGCCGGCCUGAGAGGGUGACCGGCCACAUUGGGACUGAGAUACGGCCCAG
rnacentral:rRNA from 1 species